rnacentral:lncRNA from 1 species
GCGUGGUGAAGGCGGCGCAGAUUGAGUCGGAGAGUAAGAAGGCGAGCUCGGUGAGCUACGAGUCGAGUACGACUCGGAGCGAGUCGUCGUCGGUUUUGUCGGCGUCGACCGACGGUUUGGGGAGCUUUGGGUGGGGGAAGUGUUACACCUUGCGGGAGCUUCAAACGGCGUCGAAUCAGUUCUCCGAAGAGAAUGUGAUCGGAGAGGGAGGAUACGGCGUCGUUUACCGUGGCGUUUUGCACGAUGGAUCUGUGGUUGCUAUAAAGAAUUUAUCAAACAAGAGGUAAAGUCUACCGACGCAAUUACUACUUCAUUUAAACCUUGGUCUUACUUUGCAUUUAUUUUCUCGAAAGCUUAAAUUAUCUAAGAAAAAAACGUGUCGCGGUGCAAUUAAUUCUGCAUAUCUCAUGAAACUAAUAGCUACAGUGUAGAUGCUAUUGCAGAUUAAUCCGUGAACUAUUCUGCAAUAGCUACGUGUUACGCUUUGAGUAUUGCAUAUGACAUCCUUUUGUCUUCUAUAUUUUUUCCAGUUUUCGUAAUUUUAUUAUCAGUAUAUACAACAUUAUACAUCUCAUGUAUGUUAAAAAAUAAAAAAUUAAAUUGCUAUGAAGAUGAAAAACAAUAUACUACUAUUAUGAAAUAAAUAGCGAUGAUGUAUAUAAGUUGGUGCGUGGAUUCAUAUAGACCUUUUAGGUGAUUUUUGUCUUAUUAAUUAAUUAAUUAAAAGCAAUAUGUAUUGUAAUUAUUCCUAUAACGUUUGUCGAAUUCGGAAUAGAAACGUAUGUUUGGUAAGGAUUCUUUGGUCGAAUUGAAGGAAAACAAAGCUUUGCAGAUAUGAAUUUUAUUGAAUCGGGUGUGUGGGGAACAUAAUCUUUUUGUCUCUGUUGACUAGGGAUUACCCUAAAACAAAGUAAUCGGUAGCUUUUGUUUCUUUUAUUUCUUUUAUUUUAUUCUUGUCUAUCUUCUAUGGGGCCAACUUUGACUUUACAAUUUUCCACCUUUAAUCAGUACUACCAUUUUAGCUGUUACCAACAUCAAAUUAUAAAUAAUUUGUUGAAUUGCUUUAUCUAAUUUUGAUUAACUUUAUUUUUAUGCUUUUUCUUAAUCUCAAUCAAGCACCGAUUAUAAUGUGUCUUGUUUCUUCGUGAUUACUUUCCUUUAUCUCCACUGUCUUUUAUAUUAUAAGCUCCCAUUGUGUUCUGAUCUCGUUCUACAUUUCAAAAUUCAUGGGAUGUGACGUCUGAAUUUGGAAAAAAUACAAUGCUAUAAAACGAUGUGGAAAUAUAGAAUGACGUACGAUACUUGGAUAUAUUUGGUUGGGUUUAUAUACCUAUCAGUAAGUGCGAUUGUGACGCGCGUGCAAGUUAAAAAUUUAAUAAGUGUGUCUCAAAAUAUAGAUAGGCAUUUAGUUAAAAGAAAUUUUAGAUAUGAAAGGAUAUUCAUCUUAUACCAAAAUAAAUAAUGUAUAUAUUAAAAUCAUCAUUGAAAUUGAAAUAAGUAUAUCAAAAUUUGCUAAAUCCGCACUUUCAUAAUAGUAGUAGUAGAUAAUUGAAGCUGGUUCAGAAUUUGGUACUUGAUAGCUCAAAUCGCUAGAAAAGGUAGAAAUUAGAGUAAUUACUUAAACAUGUUUAAGAACUUUAACUAUAAAUAAUAGUAUGAUUCUUUUUUUUUUUACUUGGGGGAGUUGGGGAGGGGGAGCAGUGAGAUUUGAAUCCGGGACCUCACUGUUCACACACAGGAGGUCGCACUUUUUUGUUACAUUUUGAUUUUCUGGAACACAACAGGUAAAUUCAAAAUUAUAAUAAAACUUUUUUUAUUGAGAAUCAAAAUUAUAAUAAAAACUUGGUGUUCGGAUAUAUGUAUAUUAAUUAUUAUACGAAAUGUGGCAGAAAGCUCUCAUCCAACUUUGAUUAUGAAUCGAAUUUACUAUAUCCAGUUAGUAUGCUAAACUUCUAAUAUCACAUAAGAUUACUAGUUACCUUAUAUUUCAACUAGUGAAACAUAUAGUAAGCAUUUAUUUUUCUUAUGUAAUCUUUUGACAGUCGAGGGCAUCUGUAAUGUACAAAUUGUUGGCUUGAAAACCUGCUGAUUAGCUAAGUCACUAUAGAGUGCAGCAACUUGAGCACUNCAACAUUUUCCAUAAAAUGUCUUGAAUUUUCAUUUUCUCCUAAAAAACCCUGAACUUUCAAUUUUUUUACAUAAAAUGUUCCGCUAUACAAAAUUACGAUAGAUAGGAAAGAAUAAAUAAAAAACUACCCGUAACUUUACAACUUUUCAACAAUGGUAGUUCCAUAUAGUUUUCCAACAAUGGCGGUCUCCAAAAUAUUUUUUUCUGCGAGAUAAUUCAUCUUUUUAUCACCGAAUUUUGUAUAGUAAAACAUUUUAUGGAAAAAAUAAAAAGUUCAAGAUUGUUUAAGAGAAAAUGAAAGUUCGGGACAUUUUGUGAAAAACGCUGAAAGUUAGAGACAUAAAACACUAUUAACUCUAUAUUUAUAAAAUGAAACAUGUCAUACCGUAACCAAAUUAAACUACUUACACUUUUUCUUUCUGUAAAAAAAAAAUACUCCGUGCCGAAAAGAAUGUGGCCAAUAAUAACGGGAUGAAGGGAGUAACUGAUAUUUUAAACCGAAUGGUUUGGGCUAACUCGACUCUUGUGAUGACGAACAAAUACAGGUUCUGCAGGUCAUUGGCGGACAUACACGAGGUGAGGAUCUCACCUAGCCAAUUCUUAUAAGACCUUUAAAUUUAUUUGAAUUUUGUAUAAAUUGUUAUGCAAAGUCUCCAUCAAUGAAUCGAAUAUCAUAAAAAAUAGUAGUAAUUUAUUUGAAUUUUGUAUAAAUUGUUAUGCAAAGUCUCCAUCAAUGAAUCGAAUAUCUUAAAAAAAACAGUAGUAGUAUAUAUUUUCAAAGAAAAAUUAAGAAAUACUAUAACCCUGAUGAAAGCGUAAACCCAUUUCCAGAUAGAUGAGUUGCUACACACUAUUUAUGGGGUUUUCAACGUACAUAUAAAUGAUUAAAUGUAUUUUCAAAAUUAAUUUUAAAAUAUUUCAAUAAUAAUUACACUUUUUUAUAUUUUCUGGCAAUUUCAAAUCUCCGAAAAUUUUCAACAAAAUUUGUUCCCGAAUUACUCAAUGCUGGAUAAUUUCUGGUUGCUGAAAUUCAAAAAGUUAGAAUCAUUAUUAAAAUAUAUUUUUUAAAAUUGUGAUUUAUUUGCCAAUUUUCAUUAAUUGAUUCAACAAACUUGGGGGGUAGAUGUGUCAUUUCACAAGUGAACGGUCGGCAGCAGUCAGCACGCUCCUCUCGAGCGUUUGCCACUUGCUCCCCCCGCAUCUCACAGUGGCAGUCCCGUAAAUCUUUGAAUCUUCUAAGCCCAAAUUCAAACACACUAAUUCAAUAUUUCAUCGACAUAAACACACACACACCCUCUCUCACUCGCUCAUUUUCAUCGUAUCCGUUGAGGUUGAAUGCUGCUGCCAAUCGCCAUCAACAUAAUAUGCAUAUUAAUCCAUGUCUCAUCCCUCCAAUUGUCCAUUUUCUACCUCAAUUUUCUUCAAUCCGAAUUUAGUCUCGCAUUCAAUUCAGCCGCAGUAGCAUGCACUAACGUCGUUUCCUACACACACACGCGCACGCACAGACAACCUCCAUAUCGCCGCGAACUAUGGCGGCUUCCGGCGACUCCGCCGAUGGGAGCGUUUUCACCGCCAAAACUCCAAUUCUCCGCCAGAAGCUCUACGUGGUCAUAAUCGCUACCGUCCUGCUCGCGCUGGCCUUUUUCGUUCUGGUUUACGUCUUCCUCCGCCGCCGGAGCUGCAAGCGACGCCGCGUCGGCUCCAAGCGCGGCGCCGGACUCAUUCCCCUGGUUAAGGAGCCGGAUCAACGCCGAGCUGUUGAAGGUUUGAAUGGCGGUGAGAAGAAGGUGUUUCUCGUGGAGAGCGUGGUGAAGGCGGCGCAGAUUGAGUCGGAGAGUAAGAAGGCGAGCUCGGUGAGCUACGAGUCGAGUACGACUCGGAGCGAGUCGUCGUCGGUUUUGUCGGCGUCGACCGACGGUUUGGGGAGCUUUGGGUGGGGGAAGUGUUACACCUUGCGGGAGCUUCAAACGGCGUCGAAUCAGUUCUCCGAAGAGAAUGUGAUCGGAGAGGGAGGAUACGGCGUCGUUUACCGUGGGGUUUUGCACGAUGGAUCUGUGGUUGCUAUAAAGAUUUAUCAAACA